AAAAGCAGCGAUCGCAUUCAGAGCAUCGAGACGAGAGACACCGGCCGAUAGUUUUGCUUCAUUUUUAAAUUGUUAUACUGCGGUGACUGCGACACGGUGGAUCGUUAGCUGGUUUAUUUAAAUAACAUAACUUUGUAGUUACAAAACUGAUUGAAUAUCUGAGUGGAACGGUCGGGCGGCGUCCAGCAGAUAAUGGACCGCUGCAAAACUAAGGCUCAGGACUCAUGGCUCACGGCGGGCGGCGGCAUUUACGUUUAGACGGAGCGGGGUCCCGCCCGGCCAUCUACGAGGGAAAAAAGAAUUCGUAGUAAUACAAUGUCGAAUAAUUACUUCGUGCGCAGAAUAUAUUUAUUAGUCUAAUAACGGGAUAAACCAAAUAUAAACAGAGCACAAUAGAGUAAAGGGUCACCACCCUGUUUGUCACAGAGAGCUCUAGUGAGAGUAGUCUCAGUUCUAAUCAAGGUGAGAUGGCCAGCCACGCGGGGUGCAACAGGGUACAUCAGACCAUUCCUGGACUCUGCUUUCUUCCAUUCUUACUAUCUUCAUUGAAUGAUGGUGGAAGAAAACUGUUUUGGCGACAAAACUUCAGCGUACUGUUGUCCUCUAUGUGUGUCUUGUACAUUUAAUAAUUUUAGUUACCUAUAUAUUUUUUUUGUUUAAUGAACUGAACUAACUAUAGAGUAGUGCGGUCGGGAUGGAUGCCAGGGCCAGACCUCGUGUUUGUGAACUCGAAUACCCACAAGCGAAAUAUAAAUAAAGCGGAAUAUAAUAACAUAAUUUAGUUCAGCCGACGUUGUUUGUUUGCACCGGCUCUGUGUACACAGACCGGCGGCGGCGGCGGCUGAUUCGCGGACGGUAUAUCAAUAGCAAUCGUCAAUAGUACUCACAAAUUAACAUAGCCCGACAAAUUUCUGAGAAUCAAUUUAAAAAUAGAACGUACUGUAAUAUAUUAUUUGUACAUCGAAAUCGUGUGUCUCAAGAUGGAAGUUGUCAGGGCACCGACCACCCUGGCGGGCCUGGGGCUUGCUUCUAUACAGAGAAAUUAAUAAAACGAUACAAAUUCAACAUAUUAUGUAAAACAACUGAAAAAGCCUUUUAAAGAAAAGAUAAAUAUUUGUCCUUUAUAGCCUCAUAAUAUACCUAUUUCUAACAAUUCGUUUUUCAUAAUUAGGCCUCGUAAACUGUUAAAAAGUUUUUGUUGUAUUCACGAAAAUCAACAUUUUUAACCAUUCAGCGCGAUCCGUUCACGACUAGUUUUUUGUCUCGAUCUUCGAAUUGUUUGGUUAUUGUUUCCAUUUUAUCGUACCUUCAUGUUAUUUGUUGGUGAACAAACAGGGAACGUAAUACUGCUUAGUAAGCUGCUUCGUUCUUCGUGAGUUUCGGUGAUUAGGAAAUAAUAGCCAAUUAGGAAAUAAAAACCGAAAAUGCAUGAGUUAUUACCCGAUUACAAAAUCAGAAGUCUGUUAGCAGUGGAAGUUGCCGCGAUAAAGUGAUAAUGAAUUAAUUAUGUACACGAUACGUGUGGCUACGUCCUGCCUGCUUCUACUGCGAAACAAUAGCUGUAGGUACUUGUUUGGUGAGCUCUGUACAAGAGAAUUGAAUGCACUUGUUGUCUUGCGGUAGGAUCAGCAGCAAUUCGGACCAUCCAGUGUAUCCAGAGUAUCCAUCCAGAGUAUCCAGUCGGACACGUCCAUUGCCGACUGUACACUACAGAAAACUGUUCAGCCAAAAUCGCCAUUGUAUUGUAUACGGAAUUUACUGUAGGUACUUGUGAAGUUGCGACUGGGAAGAAAUAACAAUAAAAAAAAAGUGAGCCGUCACGGGACGCCUGGCAGAUGUGAAACUUCGACAUUAUUUUGUAAAAGUAAUAUUAUGCAGAAUAGAUUGUGAUAGGAACUAAAUAUGUAUGUCAUAAUGAUAAAAUAAAAUAUUACGAAAAA